rnacentral:rRNA from 1 species
UACGUAGGGUGCGAGCGUUAAUCGGAAUUACUGGGCGUAAAGCGUGCGCAGGCGGUUUUGUAAGCCAGAUGUGAAAUCCCCGGGCUCAACCUGGGAAUGGCAUUUGGGACUGCAAGGCUGGAGUUUGGCAGAGGAGACUGGAAUUCCUGGUGUAGCAGUGAAAUGCGUAGAUAUCAGGAGGAAUACCGAUGGCGGAGGCAGCCUUCUGGGCCAACACUGACGCUCAUGCACGAAAGCGUGGGGAGCAAACAGG